UGGGGAAUAUUGCACAAUGGAGGGAACUCUGAUGCAGCAACGCCGCGUGCGGGAUGACAGCCUUCGGGUUGUAAACCGCUUUCAGCCAUGACGAAGCUUUUGUGACGGUAGUGGUAGAAGAAGCACCGGCUAACUACGUGCCAGCAGCCGCGGUGAUACGUAGGGUGCGAGCGUUGUCCGGAAUUAUUGGGCGUAAAGAGCUUGUAGGCGGUUUGUCGCGUCGAUAGUGUAAACACGCAGCUUAACUGUGUGCCUGCUGUCGAUACGGGCUGAGUAGAGGAGGGUAGGGGAGAAUGGAAUUCCCGGUGGAGCGGUGGAAUGCGCAGAUAUCGGGAGGAACGCCAGUGGCGAAGGCGGUUCUCUGGACCUUUCCUGACGCUGAGAAGCGAAAGCGUGGGUAGCAAGCAGG
rnacentral:rRNA from 1 species